UUGUGUUUGUGUUUGUGUUUGUAUAUAUAUAUGUAUAGAACUAGGCUAUUACACUAUGAAUAGCACCAAGUCAUUGGUACUGCCAAGUUUUUGGCCAUUGGAUUAAGAGAUGUGCGGUUAGGAUGAUGUGGGUCCCCUAGAGUUGAGUGGGUGAUUGGUUGAAUAGCAUAAUCUAACGGAUGAAAAUGAUUAAAAGGGUAGAUCUAACGGUGGAAAACUUGGUAGCACCAAGUGUUUCGUACUAUUAAUAGCAUAGUAGCCUAGUUCUUUCUAGCACCAAGUCAUUGAUGCUACCAAGUUUUUGGCCAUUGGAUUAAGAGAUGUGUGGUUAGGAUGAUGUGGGCCCUUUAGGUUUGAGUGGGUGGUUGGUUGAAUAGUAUGAUCUAACGGGUGAAAAUGAUCAAAAGGAUAGAUCUAACGGCGGAAAACUUGAUAGCACCAAGUUCUUCGUGCUAUUAAUAGCAUAGUAACCGGACUCUCUCUUUCUAUAUAUAUAAUUUUAUUUUUAUAUUUAUAAGAAUUAUAAUUAUUUAUGUUAAUAGUAUAAAUCUAAAAAAUAAUUUAAUUUAACAGAUGAAUUUUUGUUCCGAAUUUUUAAAUAAUAAACAUAAAAUUCUUGUUUAAAUUGCGUAUAUGAAUUAUUGACGAAUCCAAUUUUUAAACCGUAUUUUGUAACGAAUUUAAAAAUUAAAAUACAAAUUUUAUUCGUAUUUUAUCCAUACCGAAUUUUUACCAUAUCCGAAUUAACUACUUAUGUUCUUGCUUGCUUGCGAUUCAUAUGUAUAUUAUAAAUUAUACUAAGCAUUGUGUUAUGUUAUAAUGUUUAGUUUUAUGUAAUUGUAAAAUUUAUAGUAGAUUUAAGCACUAUGGUAUAAUUAAGUAGUGAAUUAAUUUUCUCAAGUUUGG
rnacentral:lncRNA from 1 species